rnacentral:rRNA from 2 species
CGGCCCCGCUAAGUCGUAACAAGGGAACCGUAGAGUUUGAUCCUGGCUCAGGACGAACGCUGGCGGCGUGCCUAAUACAUGCAAGUCGAACGAACUCUGGUAUUGAUUGGUGCUUGCAUCAUGAUUUACAUUUGAGUGAGUGGCGAACUGGUGAGUAACACGUGGGAAACCUGCCCAGAAGCGAGGGAUAACACCUGGAAACAGAUGCUAAUACCGCAUAACAACUUGGACCGCAUGGUCCGAGCUUGAAAGAUGGCUUCGGCUAUCACUUUUGGAUGGUCCCGCGGCGUAUUAGCUAGAUGGUGGGGUAACGGCUCACCAUGGCAAUGAUACGUAGCCGACCUGAGAGGGUAAUCGGCCACAUUGGGACUGAGACACGGCCCAAACUCCUACGGGAGGCAGCAGUAGGGAAUCUUCCACAAUGGACGAAAGUCUGAUGGAGCAACGCCGCGUGAGUGAAGAAGGGUUUCGGCUCGUAAAACUCUGUUGUUAAAGAAGAACAUAUCUGAGAGUAACUGUUCAGGUAUUGACGGUAUUUAACCAGAAAGCCACGGCUAACUACGUGCCAGCAGCCGCGGUAAUACGUAGGUGGCAAGCGUUGUCCGGAUUUAUUGGGCGUAAAGCGAGCGCAGGCGGUUUUUUAAGUCUGAUGUGAAAGCCUUCGGCUCAACCGAAGAAGUGCAUCGGAAACUGGGAAACUUGAGUGCAGAAGAGGACAGUGGAACUCCAUGUGUAGCGGUGAAAUGCGUAGAUAUAUGGAAGAACACCAGUGGCGAAGGCGGCUGUCUGGUCUGUAACUGACGCUGAGGCUCGAAAGUAUGGGUAGCAAACAGGAUUAGAUACCCUGGUAGUCCAUACCGUAAACGAUGAAUGCUAAGUGUUGGAGGGUUUCCGCCCUUCAGUGCUGCAGCUAACGCAUUAAGCAUUCCGCCUGGGGAGUACGGCCGCAAGGCUGAAACUCAAAGGAAUUGACGGGGGCCCGCACAAGCGGUGGAGCAUGUGGUUUAAUUCGAAGCUACGCGAAGAACCUUACCAGGUCUUGACAUACUAUGCAAAUCUAAGAGAUUAGACGUUCCCUUCGGGGACAUGGAUACAGGUGGUGCAUGGUUGUCGUCAGCUCGUGUCGUGAGAUGUUGGGUUAAGUCCCGCAACGAGCGCAACCCUUAUUAUCAGUUGCCAGCAUUAAGUUGGGCACUCUGGUGAGACUGCCGGUGACAAACCGGAGGAAGGUGGGGAUGACGUCAAAUCAUCAUGCCCCUUAUGACCUGGGCUACACACGUGCUACAAUGGAUGGUACAACGAGUUGCGAACUCGCGAGAGUAAGCUAAUCUCUUAAAGCCAUUCUCAGUUCGGAUUGUAGGCUGCAACUCGCCUACAUGAAGUCGGAAUCGCUAGUAAUCGCGGAUCAGCAUGCCGCGGUGAAUACGUUCCCGGGCCUUGUACACACCGCCCGUCACACCAUGAGAGUUUGUAACACCCAAAGUCGGUGGGGUAACCUUUUAGGAACCAGCCGCCUAAGGUGGGACAGAUGAUUAGGGUGAAGUCGUAACAAAGGUAACC